rnacentral:rRNA from 1 species
UAGGGAAUAUUGGACAAUGGGGGCAACCCUGAUCCAGCCAUGCCGCGUGAGUGGAGAAGGCCCUCGGGUUGUAAAGCUCUUUUGUCCGGAAAGAAAAGCUUCGGGUUAAUACCCCGGGGUUCUGACGGUACCGGAAGAAUAAGCACCGGCUAACUUCGUGCCAGCAGCCGCGGUAAUACGAAGGGUGCAAGCGUUACUCGGACUUACUAGGCGUAAAGCGUGCGUAGGUGGUUGUUUAAGUCUGAUGUGAAAGCCCUGGGCUCAACCUGGGAAUGGCAUUGGAAACUGGGCAGCUAGAGUGCGGUAGAGGGUAGUGGAAUUCCCGGUGUAGCAGUGAAAUGCGUAGAGAUCGGGAGGAACAUCUGUGGCGAAGGCGACUGCCUGGACCAGCACUGACACUGAGGCACGAAAGCGUGGGGAGCAAACA